rnacentral:rRNA from 1 species
UACGUAGGGUGCAAGCGUUUGUCCGGAAUUAUUGGGCGUAAAGAGCUCGUAGGCGGUUCGUCGCGUCGGCUGUGAAAACCCGAGGCUCAACCUCGGGCCUGCAGUCGAUACGGGCGGACUGGAGUUCGGCAGGGGAGACUGGAAUUCCUGGUGUAGCGGUGAAAUGCGCAGAUAUCAGGAGGAACACCGGUGGCGAAGGCGGGUCUCUGGGCCGAUACUGACGCUGAGGAGCGAAAGCGUGGGGAGCGAACAGG